rnacentral:rRNA from 1 species
CGCCAGACUCCUACGGGAGGCAGCAGUGGGGAAUAUUGCACAAUGGGGGAAACCCUGAUGCAGCGACGCCGCGUGAGCGGUGAAGUAUUUCGGUAUGUAAAGCUCUAUCAGCAGGGAAGAAGAUGACGGUACCUGACUAAGAAGCCCCGGCUAACUACGUGCCAGCAGCCGCGGUAAUACGUAGGGGGCAAGCGUUAUCCGGAUUUACUGGGUGUAAAGGGAGCGUAGACGGCGAUGCAAGCCAGAUGUGAAAGCCCGGGGCUCAACCCCGGGACUGCAUUUGGAACUGUGUGGCUGGAGUGUCGGAGAGGCAGGCGGAAUUCCUAGUGUAGCGGUGAAAUGCGUAGAUAUUAGGAGGAACACCAGUGGCGAAGGCGGCCUGCUGGACGAUGACUGACGUUGAGGCUCGAAAGCGUGGGGAGCAAACAGGAUUAGAUACCCCGGUA